rnacentral:rRNA from 1 species
AUACGUAGGUCCCGAACGUUGCGCGAAAUUACUGGGCGUAAAGGGUCCGUAGGCGGUCUGGUAAGUGGAAGGUGAAAGCCUGGGGCUCAACUCCAGAAUUGCCUUCCAAACUGCCGGACUUGAGGCAGGGAGAGGUCGGCGGAAUUCCCGGUGUAGCGGUGAAAUGCGUAGAUAUCAGGAGGAACACCAGUGGCGAAGGCGGCCGACUGGAACUGUCCUGACGCUGAGGGACGAAAGCCAGGGGAGCGAACCGGAUUAGAAACCCUAGUAGUCC